rnacentral:sRNA from 1 species
AGACCACCCAAAGCCUGCAUUAAUGCCAACUUUUAGCGCAUGGCUCUGAACAGAGCCAUUUCCCUGGACUGAAGACAGGAGUUGUCUUCAGUCUUUUUUU